AACGACUCUCGGCAACGGAUAUCUCGGCUCACGCAUCGAUGAAGAACGUAGCAAAAUGCGAUACUUGGUGUGAAUUGCAGAAUCCCGUGAACCAUCGGUCUUUGAACGCAAGUUGCGCCCCAAGCCAUUAGGCCGAGGGCACGUCUGCCUGGGCGUCACGC
rnacentral:rRNA from 1 species